rnacentral:rRNA from 1 species
GACGAACGCUGGCGGCAUGCUUAACACAUGCCAGUCGAACGGUAAGGCCCUUUCGGGGGUACACGAGUGGCGAACGGGUGAGUAACACGUGGGUGAUCUGCCCUGCACUUUGGGAUAAGCCUGGGAAACUGGGUCUAAUACCGGAUAGGACUACGCGAUGCAUGUCGUGUGGUGGAAAGCUUUUGCGGUGUGGGAUGGGCCCGCGGCCUAUCAGCUUGUUGGUGGGGUGAUGGCCUACCAAGGCGACGACGGGUAGCCGGCCUGAGAGGGUGUCCGGCCACACUGGGACUGAGAUACGGCCCAGACUCCUACGGGAGGCAGCAGUGGGGAAUAUUGCACAAUGGGCGCAAGCCUGAUGCAGCGACGCCGCGUGGGGGAUGACGGCCUUCGGGUUGUAAACCCCUUUCAGCACAGACGAAGCGUAAGUGACGGUAUGUGCAGAAGAAGCACCGGCCAACUACGUG